AACUCCUAUUUAAAAAAAAUAAUUUUUAUAAUAAAUAAUUAAUAUAAAUUGAUCAUGUUUUUAUAAAAUUAUAAAUAACAAUAAAUGUAAAUAAUAUAUAUAUGCUAUAAAUUGUUUAAAUAUAAAUAUAUAAUUAAAUUAUAUGUUAAAUAUAUUUAUUUAUAGCUCAUGAUUUACUUCACAUUAAAACAAAGGACAUAUUAUAUUUUUCAAAGACAUAUUAUAUUUAUAAAAUUUACAAUAUAAAAGUAAACAAGUCAAUAACAACGUCAUACAAAUAUUUAAAACAAAUUCAAUUAUAACAUCUAAUCUCACUUUUUAAUAAUAUUGCGUUUAUUCUACAAGAGAUCGGUUCUUAAGGAAUGCUACAAAGAUUUACGAAUCACAAAUAUUAUCAUCCAAAGAAACGAAAACAAUGGGUUCUGUCACGGUCGACGUAGUGUAGAAUGUAAAAAUCAUUUAACAUUUGCUUCUGUAGAAACAUUAGAUAAUUACCUGUAUCUCCAAUGAUAAUGUACUUGAAAAGGUAUGCGUACGACAUUUUUUGAAAUCACGUAGCAAACAAAGAUAUCUACACAAAAUGCGGAUAUAUUAGAAAACAGAACUUCACUUUUUUGACU